UUUCCCCGGCAUUUAUUUUAUCUUUUUAAAAUUUUUUUUCCUUUCUGCCCAAAUCUGUUCUCAUUUUUCUUAGGGCUCAAGGUCUUUCUAUUCUUGGUUUUUUCAAAUGAAACCCUAAUUCCUUUUAAAUUACCCUUAGAUUCCUACAAUAUUUACUAAAGGAACCACUCAUUUUCAACUCUCUGAACAAAAAUGGAGGUAGUUAAUAGAGAGCGUGUGGUUUUCAUGUGGGAAUAUUUACCUGGAGCGUUACCGCAAUGAGCUCCGCUUGUAUCGCCGGUUCUUAUGCGGAUUCCGGAUUCCAUUGACCAUUCUUGGACCGACGUAUGCGGUGGCGGUUGUGGAUUCGCCAUGGCCAUUUCUGGUUGUUUUUCCUGUCUCUCUCUUUCUCGUUGGCUUUCCUCCCCUACUUUCCCUGAUUUUAAAUUUUAUUUCUUAUAAAAAUAUUUUAAAUUUUCGAUAAUGUAAUUGCGGCUUUUGGGCUGGUUGUUAGAUUUUGUACAUUUUGAUCUGUCUGGUUGCCAAGAAAAUGUAAAAGGACUGGGCGUUAUAAUUUGAUUUUUUCGUUGUUUUCAUUUUUGUUUUGCCAUGAAGUCAACUCACUUGACUCAAAUUAGCUAUGUUGAGUUCCUUCCUGCUCUUUUUAUUUACUGGUUUUGAGCUACAGGUUUUCUCUCUCUGUAUCUGUUCUCUAUAGUUUAAAAAGAUUUCAACUUGUUAAUAAAUUGUUAACAGAUGAUUAGAGCUCUGAACCGAAUUUCAAUUUAAUAUAUUUAGUUUUAAAAAACUUCCAUUUUUCUUAUUUUUGGCAUAUAAGAUAAUUUCUUUUAUGUAAUAACUUCUGUGAAGCUAACAUUAUAUUCUACUAAUGGUGGUUUUUUAUGCAAACCACACACCAUCCACUCCGAGGUGGCGCAGUGCUUGCUGCUUCCUUCGUUGCCUGUUUUCUGUGGUGCUUCGGAUCUGGAGCUCCGGCUGUUUGACGACCCAGCUGUUGGAGCUUCCAGGUCUUUGAACCGAAAGCAAAUUAAAGCUCAAGCUAGUCGAAUUGCUAAUCUGCUUCGCAAAACUGACGUUUCAUAUCUGAUUGGUCAUUACACAAUCCCUAAAGAGAUGAAUGAGGUCUGCAAUUGGCUUACAGCAAGGUUGGGGCUCGAGGGAUAAGGCUAAAUAUAGCCAAGAGUCAGGAAGCAAUAAAGGUGAAAAGAGAGAAAACUGCAUAUGUUACAAGUAGUUAGUAAACAAAAUGGAUUGUUAGGGUAUAUGGUAUACUUGGAUCUGGAUAUAUUUCACUACUUGGGGCUACCUUUGUAGAAAUAAGAGUUCAACAGAGUUUCUUGGAAUUGAAGUUGCAAUUUCAAAUUGUAUUAGCUUUUUUGUAGUACAACAUCAAUAUCAAUGUCCAUUGUCUUAGGUACUUUUUUAUUUGUUUACUUUUGUACAUUGAAUUGAAUGUUAGUGAUAUACAUUUAAGCUACAUGUUAGUGUAUUUUGAUUGUUGGAUCGAUUUUUGUAGUGAAUAUUCAAUUAUUAUUUUAAUUUUAAUUUUA